rnacentral:sRNA from 1 species
AUGGUGAAGCAUCCUGCCGCUAAGAUUGCUGAAGUGCCAGCAGUUUGUCCCUCCAUGCUCCACACUGACCACAGUUGUCCUGCUACUGCUCCUGGCCAAGUUAACACAGAAGACAACAGUGUUCUGGCUAAGCUGCUGGAAGCUUCGAGGAGCAACUACUACAGAUACUAUGGCAACUGCAGACACCUGUGAGACAGUGCCUUGGGUUCAAAGUCUGGCUGCCAUUGCUGAGCUGGAAAAGGCAGAGGCCACCAAGCUGGGAUAGCUGUGUACUGGAUCAGUUUGACCAAGUAUUCUCUCCUAAGGGUUGGGCAUGAUGGAAAAACGAAGGAGAGUAUGGUUGGGGGAAACUCACAGGUAGGUGGUACAGCUUUGGAGACCAUGGCCAAGAGAGUUGGUCAUAAAGCUGCCUAAGCAAUAAAUGGGUGAGUGG